AGGAAUGGGGUCGGCGGCACUUUCCAAGCGGAACACCGCGCUGAAAUUAGUAGGCUUGGCAGGGGACCCUCAUCCUCCUCAUCCUCCUCACCGCCAUCACCACUCCCCUCAGAGCAUGACAGGCUUCGCCGGGGAUCCCCAUUCCAUCGUUCCCACGCGCCCUGGGGAGCACCCUGGAGAAUCCCGCCUCGGUCUGAGUCCAUUCCGGUCAGAACACUUGGGACACCACCAUCACCAUCGUCACCACCACCACCUCCACCACCAUCACUCUCCUCCUCCACCACCUCAUCACCCAGCGGCCCUUAAGCUCUGUGCUGACCCUCAGCCUCGCCAUCCCGUGACAGGCCCAGCUGAAGUGGUCCCGCGUCCAACUGGAGCGUUGGGCCCGGCGCAGUCAACAACAGUCCCUUAUGCGAUCCCUCACCCAAGCCAGGCUCUAUCGGCAGGUAGAGAUUUAUUCCUGCGCGGGGAUCUGACUGCCCCCGGCAUGCCAGGGUUCUCUUAUCCACACUCUGCUGCUCCAAGUUCUCAUCACGGAAUAUUUGUCUCAACAACAGGUAGCUACCCCGGACACCAUGCUCCCCACCACCACCACCACCACCUCCACCUCCACCACCAUCACCACCACCCAGAAGUCGGGACUCAUUCGCUCCUUACUGGACUCCAUCACCAGGAGCAACCUCCCCAUGGACCUCCAGGUGGCCAUCUAAACGGACAGAUCAGGCUGGGACUACCUGGAGAAAUGUACGCCAGGUCUGAGCCUUUCACUCCAGGACCAAUCUCCCGGACAGAUCCUUUCGCGGCUUCCUCCUUCCACGGCUACAGUAGCAUGAACCUGAACGUGAAUCUAGCGUCACACCAUGGCCCUGGGGCUUUCUUUCGCUACAUGAGACAGCCCAUCAAGCAAGAGCUCAUCUGCAAGUGGAUUGAACUGGAUCAGACUCCCAAGAAAUUAUGCUCGAAAACUUUCAGCACCAUGCACGAGCUGGUGACUCACGUCACCGUGGAGCACGUUGGCGGGCCCGAGCAGUCCAACCACAUCUGCUUCUGGGAAGAGUGUCCUAGGGAAGGGAAGCCUUUCAAGGCCAAAUAUAAACUGGUCAACCACAUCCGCGUCCACACGGGGGAGAAGCCUUUCCCUUGCCCUUUCCCGGGAUGCGGCAAAGUCUUCGCUCGGUCGGAAAAUCUCAAAAUCCACAAAAGGACGCAUACAGGCGAGAAGCCCUUCAAAUGCGAGUUCGAAGGCUGCGAGAGACGCUUUGCCAACAGCAGCGACCGGAAGAAGCAUUCCCACGUGCACACCAGCGACAAACCUUACAACUGUAAAGUGCGGGGCUGCGAUAAGUCGUACACCCAUCCCAGCUCUUUGAGGAAGCACAUGAAGGUCCACUGCAAAUCCCCGCCUCCCAGCUCCGGCUACGAGUCGUCCACUCCUUCACUGGUCUCUCCCUCGUCCGACUGCGGCCGAGACCCCCCUCAACCGCCGCCGCCGCCCCCGCCGCCUCCAGCGACCUCCGCUUCGCAGGCGGCAGCGAACCUGAGCGAAUGAUGUCUAUCUCGUUGCUCUCAAGGUAAUCUAGACAGAGGCAGCUGAAAAGCUCUGCAUCUUAUGCCUUAGACAUCAAAGCAGGCUCUCGCAAUGAAAGCAUUUCUUCGCAAUGGUGAAUCUUCAUGGCUGCCUCUUGGAUAAUGCUAUAAAUUCUGGCCAGAAGAACACUUUUUAACAACACCUCACUAAAAAUAGCCAUUUGCCGUCCAAGCAAAAGCUUUCAUAAUUUGCGGAUAUUUUUAUAGUCAAGCAGUAGAGAAAAAAGUUUCACCUGGACUCCGCUUGGCGUGCACUCCAUCGCUGAGAAAAACAAGACUGAUUACGUUAUUGACAAUUGAUACUCAUCUGUAAGCCAAAAUUCAACAAAACAAAUUCAGGCAUUGCACAUUUGGUAAUUCGAAUUUACCAAAAGCAUUCCUGAGACUUUGGUUUUAAGACUUUGCAUUUUAAGACUUUGAUUCCAUCCUGGUCCAAUGAACCAAACUAUGAGCUUAGUAGCCUUGCUGGAUUUGUGCCAGGCCAAGCACUGAACUAUAAGGAAAGGAUUAACUGGUGCAUAUGAAUUAAAAGAUGUUUGGUUUUGCGUUAUGGAUGCACUUGGGAACUGUAAUUCACAAGCAACCCAACACAGAAUUUAGUGAAGCUGACAGCUCUCGGAUGCUAGCCAUUUGUUCCACAAUCCCAAAUCAUAAAUGGAGAGAAUAAGACUGACUAAAAUUGAUUUCUUCAUUUUCAGCAGUUAGGCAUUUCUGUGGGACCCUAGUUUGCACCCUUAACAAUAACAACAAUAACAACCCAACAUGCUUCUAGUUAAACGAAAGACAUUUACUUGAGUAAAAAUGUGAAGGACUAAGGUAAUCUGUAUUAUCCAAACUUGGAAAUAGAAAUAUGGCACAUAUUAAAAACUUUUCAUCAAAAAUAGGAAAAGCUGGAAAAGCAGCUGGGAGAUCUCAAUCCGUGCUAAUUUCAACCUUUCUAUAAACCCAGAUUGCUUCAAAAGUUUAGGCUUUCUGCAUUCGAAAGCAAGAGUAUUUAUUCAAGUUCUGCACGAUGCCAUUUUUCUUUUCUUUUCUUUCCCCUUUAUUUCAGUACUACAUUUUAAGAACUUUCAUCACUUUAUCUCAUCUUCCUUCAUCUCCCUUUUGCUAGAAUGGACCACUUCUGUAAGUAUGCCUUUGUUCGUUUAUUUCUAUACAUCAUUUUUAAAUAUGAUGCCUAUGGCCUGAUACACCCUUAUUUGGAUGGAUGUAAAGGCCACUGGAUUCAACUGAGCUCCUUUUUCAAUAGACGUUUAGAGAAAUAUGCCUUAAUAGCCCCACACUAAACGUCUACGCUGUAAGGAUGUAGGUUUUGUACUACGUGUGAAAUAUAGGUAGUGAAAAUUCUGUUUUGGCCUAGAAUCGAUGUAAUGAAUGUUUAAAAUAAAACAAAAACAAAUAUUAGACGAAAACGUAAUUUACAACAGUCAAUCGUGUCUAUAAAUGUUUUUGUACUUUUAAAAUAUAA